rnacentral:lncRNA from 1 species
AGUGUCGUAGGAAUUAUGUCUUUCUCAUUAUCGAAUAAAAUUGAAGCAGAGUGUUGGAGGAUAGAUCAACGUAUAGACGAGAUUAUGGAGAUUGAUAUGGGAGUUGAGGUAACGGACACAACUGUUCCUCCGUAAAGAAACGCUCCUGCUAGACAUCCUGGAUAAAUGAAAGAGACAUAUUUGGACUUGGCUUUGUGUUAAUGGAUGGUGAUUUUUCAAUGCUGUUUGGAGCAAGGGCCGAUAUACACGCACCAAAUCACCACUGCAAGCGGAAGCUGAAGGUUUACUAUGGGCAAUGCAAGUGAUACUGAAGUUUGGACACAGAGAGAUGGUCUUUCAAUCAACUGUGAACAACUGGUUAUACUCAUUCAAAAGGAG